rnacentral:rRNA from 1 species
CACAGAGACUGCAAGCGUUAUUCGGAUUCACUGGGCGUAAAGGGUGCGCAGGUGGCCGUGUGUGUCAGAUGUGAAAUCCCGGGGCUUAACUCCGGAACUGCGUCUGAAACUACACGGCUAGAGCAUUGGAGAGGGUAGUGGAAUUCACGGUGUAGCAGUGAAAUGCGUAGAUAUCGUGAGGAACACCAGAGGCGAAGGCGACUACCUGGACAAUAGCUGACACUCAGGCACGAAAGCGUGGGGAGCCAAAGGG